rnacentral:rRNA from 1 species
GUUGUAUGGUUAAGUGACUAAGCGUAUACGGUGGAUGCCUUGGCAGUUAGAGGCGAUGAAGGACGUGUAAGUCUGCGAAAAGCUGUGGUGAGCCGACAAAAUGCAUUUGAGCCACAGAUGUCCGAAUGGGGAAACCCACCUAUUUAUAGGUAUCGUUACAUGAAUAUAUAGUGUAACGAGGCGAACGAGGGGAACUGAAACAUCUAAGUACCCUUAGGAAAAGAAAUCAACCGAGAUUCCCCUAGUAGCGGCGAGCGAACGGGGAUUAGCCCUUAAGCAAUUAUGAACGUAGUGGAAGCCUCUGGGAAGUGGCGCGAUACAAGGUGAUAGCCCUGUACACGAAGUGUUUGUUUUUGUGAAAUCGAGUAGGUCGGGACACGUGUUAUCUUGACUGAAUAUGGGGGACCAUCCUCCAAGGCUAAAUACUCCUAACUGACCGAUAGUGAACCAGUACCGUGAGGGAAAGGCGAAAAGAACCCCUGUGAGGGGAGUGAAAUAGAACCUGAAACCGUAUACGUACAAGCAGUGGGAGCAGACUUGUUCUGUGACUGCGUACCUUUUGUAUAAUGGGUCAGCGACUUAUAUUUAGUAGCAAGGUUAAGCGAAUAGCGGAGCCGUAGCGAAAGCGAGUGUUAACUGCGCGUUUAGUUGCUAGGUAUAGACCCGAAACCCGGUGAUCUAGCCAUGGGCAGGUUGAAGGUUGAGUAACAUCAACUGGAGGACCGAACCCACUAACGUUGAAAAGUUAGGGGAUGACUUGUGGCUGGGGGUGAAAGGCCAAUCAAACCGGGAGAUAGCUGGUUCUCCCCGAAAUCUAUUUAGGUAGAGCCUCGGACGAAUUCCAUUGGGGGUAGAGCACUGUUAAGGCUAGGGGGUCAUCCCGACUUACCAACCCUUUGCAAACUCCGAAUACCAAUGAGAACUAUCCGGGAGACACACGGCGGGUGCUAACGUCCGUCGUGAAGAGGGAAACAACCCAGACCGCCAGCUAAGGUCCCAAAAUAUUGCUAAGUGGGAAACGAUGUGGGAAGGCAUAGACAGCUAGGAGGUUGGCUUAGAAGCAGCCACCCUUUAAAGAAAGCGUAAUAGCUCACUAGUCGAGUCGGCCUGCGCGGAAGAUGUAACGGGGCUAAGCAAUAUACCGAAGCUGCGGAUACGUGUUUACACGUAUGGUAGGGGAGCGUUGUGUAAGUGGAUGAAGGUGGAUUGAGAAGUCUGCUGGACAUAUCACAAGUGCGAAUGCUGACAUGAGUAACGAUAAUGGGAGUGAAAAACUCCCACGCCGGAAGACCAAGGUUUCCUGUCCCAUGCUAAUCAGGGCAGGGUAAGUCGGCCCCUAAGGCGAGGCAGAAAUGCGUAGUCGAUGGGAAACGGAUUAAUAUUUCCGUACUUAUAUAAUCAGUGAUGGAGGGACGGAGAAGGCUAAGCAAGCUUGGCGUUGGUUGUCCAAGUGAAAGCAAGUAGGCCGAGUGUUUAGGUAAAUCCGGACGCUUAAAGCUGAGAUGCGAGACGAGCUACUACGGUAGUGAAGUUGUUGAUGCCCUGCUUCCAGGAAAAGCUUCUAAACUUAUGAUUAUAUAAACCGUACCCCAAACCGACACAGGUGGUCAGGUAGAGAAUACUAAGGCGCUUGAGAGAACUCGGGUGAAGGAACUCGGCAAAAUUGUACCGUAACUUCGGGAGAAGGUACGCCCUUGUUUGUGAUAGGACUUGCUCCUUGAGCAGAUGAGGGCCGCAGUGACCAGGUGGCUGGGACUGUUUAUUAAAAACACAGCACUCUGCUAACUCGCAAGAGGACGUAUAGGGUGUGACACCUGCCCGGUGCCGGAAGGUUAAUUGAUGGGGUUAUCUUCGGAGAAGCUCUUGAUCGAAGCCCCGGUAAACGGCGGCCGUAACUAUAACGGUCCUAAGGUAGCGAAAUUCCUUGUCGGGUAAGUUCCGACCUGCACGAAUGGUGUAACCAUGGCCACGCUGUCUCCACCCGAGACUCAGUGAAAUUGAAAUCGCAGUGAAGAUGCUGUGUACCCGCACCUAGACGGAAAGACCCCGUGAACCUUUACUACAGCUUGGCACUGAACAUUGAACCUACAUGUGUAGGAUAGGUGGGAGGCUUCGAAGCACAGUCGCUAGAUUGUGUGGAGCCGUCCUUGAAAUACCACCCUUGUAUGUUUGAUGUUCUAACAUUGGUCCCUUAUCGGGAUUAUGGACAGUGUCUGGUGGGUAGUUUGACUGGGGCGGUCUCCUCCCAAAUAGUAACGGAGGAGCACGAAGGUUAGCUAAUCACGGUCGGACAUCGUGAGGUUAGUGCAAUGGCAUAAGCUAGCUUAACUGCGAGACAGACACGUCGAGCAGGUACGAAAGUAGGUCAUAGUGAUCCGGUGGUUCUGUAUGGAAGGGCCAUCGCUCAACGGAUAAAAGGUACUCCGGGGAUAACAGGCUGAUACCGCCCAAGAGUUCAUAUCGACGGCGGUGUUUGGCACCUCGAUGUCGGCUCAUCACAUCCUGGGGCUGAAGUCGGUCCCAAGGGUAUGGCUGUUCGCCAUUUAAAGUGGUACGCGAGCUGGGUUUAGAACGUCGUGAGACAGUUCGGUCCCUAUCUGGUGUGGGCGUUGGAUGAUUGAUGGGAGCUGCUCCUAGUACGAGAGGACCGGAGUGGACGAACCGCUGGUGUUCGGGUUGUCAUGCCAAUGGCAUUGCCCGGUAGCUACGUUCGGAACGGAUAACCGCUGAAAGCAUCUAAGCGGGAAGCCGGCCCAAAGAUGAGUCAUCCCUGACUUUUAAAGUCCGGAAGGGUUGUUAUAGACGAUGACGUUGAUAGGCAGGAUGUGGAAGCGUUGUAAGGCGUUAAGCUAACCUGUACUAAUUGCCCGAGAGGCUUAACCAUACAACGCCCAAG